rnacentral:rRNA from 1 species
AUUGAACGCUGGCGGCGGGCCUAACACAUGCAAGUCGAGCGAGCGGCGGACGGGUGAGUAAUAUAUGGGGACUGACCGAUAGAGCUGGGUAAAUACUGGAAACGGUAGCUAAUACCGCGUACUAUCGGCAAACCCGUAUGGGAUUAGCUAGUAGGUGAGGUAAGGGCUCACCUAGGCGACGAUCCCUAGCUGGCCUGAGAGGAUGAUCAGCCACACUGGGACUGAGACACGGCCCAGACUCCUACGGAGGCAGCAGUGGGGAAUAUUGCGCAAUGGGCGCAAGCCUGAUGCAGCCAUGCCGCGUGUAUGAAGAAGGCCCUAGGGUUGUAAAGCACUUUCAGUCGGGAGGCGUUACCGACAGAAAAAGCACCGGCUAACUCCGUGCCAGCAGCCGCGGUAAUUC